rnacentral:rRNA from 1 species
GGUGCAAGCGUUAAUCGGAAUUACUGGGCGUAAAGCGCACGCAGGCGGUUUGUUAAGUCAGAUGUGAAAUCCCCGGGCUCAACCUGGGAACUGCAUCUGAUACUGGCAAGCUUGAGUCUCGUAGAGGGGGGUAGAAUUCCAGGUGUAGCGGUGAAAUGCGUAGAGAUCUGGAGGAAUACCGGUGGCGAAGGCGGCCCCCUGGACGAAGACUGACGCUCAGGUGCGAAAGCGUGGGGAGCAAACAGGAUUAGAUACCCUGGUAGUCCACGCCGUAAACGAUGUCGACUUGGAGGUUGUGCCCUUGAGGCGUGGCUUCCGGAGCUAACGCGUUAAGUCGACCGCCUGGGGAGUACGGCCGCAAGGUUAAAACUCAAAUGAAUUGACGGGGGCCCGCACAAGCGGUGGAGCAUGUGGUUUAAUUCGAUGCAACGCGAAGAACCUUACCUGGUCUUGACAUCCACGGAAGUUUUCAGAGAUGAGAAUGUGCCUUCGGGAACCGUGAGACAGGUGCUGCAUGGCUGUCGUCAGCUCGUGUUGUGAAAUGUUGGGUUAAGUCCCGCAACGAGCGCAACCCUUAUCCUUUGUUGCCAGCGGUCCGGCCGGGAACUCAAAGGAGACUGCCAGUGAUAAACUGGAGGAAGGUGGGGAUGACGUCAAGUCAUCAUGGCCCUUACGACCAGGGCUACACACGUGCUACAAUGGCGCAUACAAAGAGAAGCGACCUCGCGAGAGCAAGCGGACCUCAUAAAGUGCGUCGUAGUCCGGAUUGGAGUCUGCAACUCGACUCCAUGAAGUCGGAAUCGCUAGUAAUCGUGGAUCAGAAUGCCACGGUGAAUACGUUCCCGGGCCUUGUACACACCGCCCGUCACACCAUGGGAGUGGGUUGCAAAAGAAGUAGGUAGCUUAACCUUCGGGAGGGCGCUUACCACUUUGUGAUUCAUGACUGGGGUGAAGUCGUAACAAGGUAACCGUAGGGGAACCUGCGGUUGGAUCACCUCCUUACCUUAAAGAAGC